rnacentral:rRNA from 1 species
CCUACGGGGCGCUGCAGUGGGGAAUAUUGCACAAUGGGCGCAAGCCUGAUGCAGCCAUGCCGCGUGUGUGAAGAAGGCCUUCGGGUUGUAAAGCACUUUCAGCGGGGAGGAAGGCGUUAAGGUUAAUAACCUUGUCGAUUGACGUUACCCGCAGAAGAAGCACCGGCUAACUCCGUGCCAGCAGCCGCGGUAAUACGGAGGGUGCAAGCGUUAAUCGGAAUUACUGGGCGUAACGCGCACGCAGGCGGUCUGUCAAGUCGGAUGGGAAAUCCCCGGGCUCAACCUGGGAACUGCAUUCGAAACUGGCAGGCUAGAGUCUUGUAGAGGGGGGUAGAAUUCCAGGUGUAGCGGUGAAAUGCGUAGAGAUCUGGAGGAAUACCGGUGGCGAAGGCGGCCCCCUGGACAAAGACUGACGCUCAGGUGCGAAAGCGUGGGGAGCAAACAGGAUUAGAUACCCCGGUAGUC